rnacentral:rRNA from 1 species
AGCGAACGGACGAGAAGCUUGCUUCUCUGAUGUUAGCGGCGGACGGGUGAGUAACACGUGGAUAACCUACCUAUAAGACCGGGAUAACUUCGGGAAACCGGAGCUAAUACCGGAUAAUAUUUUGAACCGCAUGGUUCAAAAGUGAAAGACGGUCUUGCUGUCACUUAUAGAUGGAUCCGCGCUGCAUUAGCUAGUUGGUAAGGUAACGGCUUACCAAGGCAACGAUGCAUAGCCGACCUGAGAGGGUGAUCGGCCACACUGGAACUGAGACACGGUCCAGACUCCUACGGGAGGCAGCAGUAGGGAAUCUUCCGCAAUGGGCGAAAGCCUGACGGAGCAACGCCGCGUGAGUGAUGAAGGUCUUCGGAUCGUAAAACUCUGUUAUUAGGGAAGAACAUAUGUGUAAGUAACUGUGCACAUCUUGACGGUACCUAAUCAGAAAGCCACGGCUAACUACGUGCCAGCAGCCGCGGUAAUACGUAGGUGGCAAGCGUUAUCCGGAAUUAUUGGGCGUAAAGCGCGCGUAGGCGGUUUUUUAAGUCUGAUGUGAAAGCCCACGGCUCAACCGUGGAGGGUCAUUGGAAACUGGAAAACUUGAGUGCAGAAGAGGAAAGUGGAAUUCCAUGUGUAGCGGUGAAAUGCGCA